GACGAACGCUGGCGGCGUGCCUAAUACAUGCAAGUAGAACGCUGAAGGAGGAGCUUGCUUCUCCGGAUGAGUUACGAACGGGUGAGUAACGCGUAGGUAACCUGCCUGGUAGCGGGGGAUAACUAUUGGAAACGAUAGCUAAUACCGCAUAAGAGUAGAUGUUGCAUGACAUUUGCUUAAAAGGUGCAAUUGCAUCACUACCAGAUGGACCUGCGUUGUAUUAGCUAGUUGGUGAGGUAACGGCUCACCAAGGCGACGAUACAUAGCCGACCUGAGAGGGUGAUCGGCCACACUGGGACUGAGACACGGCCCAGACUCCUACGGGAGGCAGCAGUAGGGAAUCUUCGGCAAUGGACGGAAGUCUGACCGAGCAACGCCGCGUGAGUGAAGAAGGUUUUCGGAUCGUAAAGCUCUGUUGUAAGAGAAGAACGAGUGUGAGAGUGGAAAGUUCACACUGUGACGGUAUCUUACCAGAAAGGGACGGCUAACUACGUG
rnacentral:rRNA from 1 species